AGUGAACGCUGGCGGUAGGCCUAACAUAUGCAAGUCGAACGGCAGCACAGGAGAGCUUGCUCUCUGGGUGGCGAGUGGCGGACGGGUGAGGAAUACAUCGAGAUCUACUCUGUCGUGGGGGAUAACGUAGGGAAACUUACGCUAAUACCGCAUACGACCUACGGGUGAAAGCAGGGGACCUUCGGCCCUUGCGCGAUUGAAUGAGCCGAUGUCGGAUUAGCUAGUUGGCGGGGUAAAGGCCCACCAAGGCGACGAUCCGUAGCUGGUCUGAGAGGAUGAUCAGCCACACUGGAACUGAGACACGGUCCAGACUCCUACGGGAGGCAGCAGUGGGGAAUAUUGGACAAUGGGCGCAAGCCUGAUCCAGCCAUACCGCGUGGGUGAAGAAGGCCUUCGGGUUGUAAAGCCCUUUUGUUGGGAAAGAAAUCCAGCUGGCUAAUACCCGGUUGGGAUGACGGUACCCAAAGAAUAAGCACCGGCUAACUUCGUGCCAGCAGCCGCCGUAA
rnacentral:rRNA from 1 species